GGAGUCUGGGCCGUGUCUCAGUCCCAAUGUGGCCGUUCACCCUCUCAGGCCGGCUACGCAUCAUCGUCUUGGUGAGCCGUUACCUCACCAACUAACUAAUGCGCCAUAAGCCCAUCCACCAGUGCUUUGAAUCUUUAAUAACAGUGUCAUGCGACUCCGUUACCUAUCCGGUAUUAGUCCCCGUUUCCAGAGAUUAUCCCAGUCUUCGUGGGCAGGUUGCUUAUGUAUUACUCACCCGUUCGCCUCUCCUUCACUCAAGCAAGCUUGAGCUCCAGCGAUCGACUUGCAUGUAUUAGGCACGCCGCCAGCGUUUAUC
rnacentral:rRNA from 1 species